ensembl:rRNA 5S_rRNA 5S ribosomal RNA
GUUUGUUUCUGACACUGAAUACGCCCAAUCUCAUCUGAUCUGCAAAGCUAAGCAGGGUUGGGCCUGGUUAGUAUUUGGAUGGGAGAUUACCUGGGAAUACCAGGUGCUGUAAGCU